AUGCCAUCAACUCCAUGCGUGUUCUUGCUCCAAUGUUCAUCCUUCUCCAAGCUGGGUGAUGAGGACAUCCCAGGUUCACCUCGUUUAUCAUCUUCUCCUGAUGAUCAAACUCAGCUCUCAAAUGAAGCUGCUACAAAGAAGAUCUAUUUGGGUCCCAUGACAAGGAGUCGUGCCAAACAAAUAGCACAAGAGGUGAAUGCGCUCCUAGCUGAUCAUAAUUCAAAUAACCAUGAGAACUUUAUACUGCCUAAAUCUUGUGUGCUGAUUUUACUCAGGUACAAUGUUGAGGACAACCAACAACUUUCAGUGCAUGAAGAAACAAGUUCUGAAGCCCAUACAACAAGUUUGAAGAGAACAAGUUUCACCCCUGAUGCAAAGCCUGUUUUGGUGACAAGGCCAACUAGUUAUACCUCAAGGAAGAACAACAAGCCAUCUCAACAACCUGUUGUUGCAUGUGCAGUUCCAGAAUUCGUCCCAAGACUUGUUGCAUCAUGCCAUACAAAUAUAUGA
rnacentral:rRNA from 1 species